CUAAGAUGGCGGCGCCGCUGGUUGCCCGUUACUAGGGUCUUGGGGCGUUCGGAACUGGGACCAGGAGUUGCCUCGUACCUGCUGAGUCCUACACACCUUCGUUGUCUAAGUCAAGUGUGAAGUUGGCUCUAAGUUCUAGAAGAUUGUGAGAGAUUUCAUUCUGCAUCUCCUGUCCAGGUGCCAGCCUAAAACUCAACUCAUUUCAGUUGUGGCAGGAGUGCUCCCAUCCUAUUUGAAAGCAGAAAAACAGAUAAAAUUUUACAGGCCCAGCGUUGACCUUCUCAUCCAUCUUGGCUCUAUCACAGGUCUGCUUUGCUGUUUUCUCUUGGCCGUGACAAUCUGAUGGUCAUUAUAAUAGCAGUUUACCACUAGUAUAAACAAAAGUACUAUUUGUAUAUUUUGUGAGAGGUUCACCAAUACCAUCAAAAAGUUCUGUAGUACCACUGGCCUUCUAUACUCCAUCACCAUCAUAUUUAUGUCAACAUCUUCACUUCUCAUCUAAACCAACCAAAGAACCAUUGUUGGUCUCCUAGGAUCUACUGUUGUCAAGAACUCAUUUGCUAAAGCCUUUAGUAAUAUUUUAUCUGAAAGAAUUGAAGCAUGGAGCCUGUGUCAUUUCCCGUACUAGUUGGUGGACUUACUGAUUGUAUAUCCCAGUUAAUAAGAAUCGCUGAAGCGAUUUUACACUUUAUUACACAACAGCAGCAAGUUCCUCGUUUAGAGCAGAAUAAUAGAGUAGAACAGGUAGAGGAGUCUGCGGCUUCUGCAGAUGAACCCCCACUACCAGAUCUUGCUAAUUUCUCUGAUUUAGAAUCAAUACUCUCACUAAGAGAUGAUGAAGACCUAGUCCUUGAUGUGGAUCAAGCUUUGUUAGUUAUAGGUGAUAUAAAUGAAGAUAUAUUACUUGGUAUCGACAGUAAUUCAAGAAAGGAAUAAGUACCAGUUUUCCUUCAACAACAUGUGAAAACUGAUCAUUUCUCUGUUUCAAACAUAUUCUAUUUUUUCUGGACAAUAGCUGCACAUUUUCAUUGUUAAAACUUAUAGAACAAGUAAGAUUUAUUUUCCUUCCAGCAAAGACUUUUUUUCUUUCAGAAACUAAUUUAGAGAUGCUGUUUUUCCUUUACUUUUUCUCCUGUUCUUCUGUUAGGACUUCUGAUGAUAGGCACAAAUAAUAGCAAAUAAAAGAAUCUCUUUCAAGUUAACAAUGGACUGAAGCCCUGGGACCUCUCAUAUGUUGGGACCCAAUUUCACUGUUCUACAAUGAUAAACAAAUUAAAAGGGGAAUAACCCCUGAAUGGUAUUAUAGUGACUAUCUUCACAUUAACAGGACUUUUUUAGGAUACUUGUAGUUGAAAAUAUAUAAUCCCUUACUGGAUCUUUAAGAGAAGAUUUGUCAAACAGGAUGCCAUAGCAGACUAAGAGGGAUAAUUCUGAAGAGUGGCAUCUACCAGAUAAUAAAACUACAGAAGGAUAUUCAGAUGAAUAUUGCAAAGGAGAAACCUUUGAAAAAGCUAAGGCUAAGAGGUUCCAAUGUAGGACUGUUCCCACAAAUGCUAAACCACAUCGCAACUACUUUGCAGUAUUGUUCUCCAAAUGGAAAUGGCAGAUUAUACCAAAUAACAAAAGAGAAGUACUAGAAUGCCUAGCCAAAGCCCUACAAAGACUAUUCACCAGUGGAAGACAAACACCUAUUACAGAAGCCUAGAGAUGAUGGUCCACAAAGGGGAGUGGACAGGGUGUAUCUUCUUGCUUAUAUAACUGAAUUUAAAAUGAAUACUUGAUAGGCUUUCUACAGUGGACCUGACACAGCUUCAACCUAGCAAUACAUUUUUUUUACUGAGAGGUAAGAUCAGUAAUGAAUAUAAACAAAAUAUGGACUGGCAUUUAGCCACGAUAAUUCUCCACAUACCAGAAGAGGAAAAUGCAGUAGUUGAAGGACUCCCACAACAAAACAGAGAGGGAACAAAUGUGAAGGAAAUUCACUAUAUAUAAUAUAGUGAAUAUAUAUAUAUAUAUAUAUAUAUAUAUAUCAUACUAAUUCUACACCACAGAGUACCUUUCACUUCUGAUUGGAAGAAUAGUUAUCCUUUAGACAGGCCCAUGGACAUUAUGGUCUGCCUUCCUAGAGACUGACCUUUGUGUCUCAUGACAUGGCUAACAAACUAGGUAAAUACAUAAAGGUACACCAUCGGCAAUGUGGUGUGUGCAGAUGGUGAGGAUGUGAUAUGUAGAAGGCAAUCCACCCCGGUGGGAACCAGAUUACACUGAUUAUUUAUAUAGAGUUCCAGAGCAUAUUACAGUCAAAAGAAUUGCAAUGGCAUUUAAUACAGAUGAUUUCAGGGCCAACCACAUGACAGAGGCUGCAUCUAAUAUUAAGUGAUGUCUGCAUACAUAGACAAUGAGCUACCUUUAAAGAUAAAUGUAGGAAACUAGAGUAUGUAAUCAGGUCUUAUUUGGAUGAGCUGUAGUAGGAGAAACAUGAGUCAGUUUGGACACUGACUUCCAGUGAUUUAACAAAUUUAAUAAAGUGAUAGCUAUAUCUAGAAAACCUUCUAGAGAUCCUUUAGAAAAAUUAGAACAUAUAGAGCUGUUUAACAUAUUAGUAUGAAAGACUUCUAGCUGUGUGGAUAGAAUGACAAGAGUAGAUGGGGAUCCAAGAGACUUGGAGGGGAAACAAAAGGCACAAACAGGGAAAAUAAAACUUAUUCCCUCAAUGGCUGUGGGUAAUUACAAGCCAUAUUGGGCAGGAGAUUGUGAAACUUUGCUGCUACAAUAACUGAACAAACUGAACCUUACUUUGCCAGUGUAUGGAAGUCUAUAGAUACACCGUUUGUUUGAAAUGGCAUAUGAUUUUUGCACUGCAAAAGGACUACGCCAAAGUAACCUAAAUAGAAUAGUGAGAAACCAAAAAGAAUCAGCUUAUCCCUCCAUCCCAAUAGGAACAGUUUACAAAGAUUACUGAUGGCAGUUAAACAAGGAAAUCUAUACACUUAGUGAUAAUUUAGCAUUCUUACAUUGAGUAAAUAUAACAAAGGACCGGAUAAAAGUUGAAAAGAUAGAAUCUAUGCCUUAAUUAAAGGUUUAUGAGAGCCAGGGAAGAUAGACAUUCCCCAUGGGGAAUUUGGGGUUUAGGAAAUUGGUUCUAUAAUUUGUCUCAAAAUAAAAUUUAAAGCAUAAAUACCUGGACAAGAUCAGAAAACACAUCUAAAGAGAGACCACUAGUCUGCUAUAAAUUCUAUUUGGUGAGCAAUUUAGCUGAAAAAAAGACAUGUUGUUCUUCAAACACAGUAGAUACUGAAGGAUAGGUAUCUGUCCAAGUAGAACUCUAGAAUGUGCUGUUCCUCAAACAUGAUAAAUACUGAAGCGUAGCUAUCUGCCCGAAUAGAACUCUAGAAUGUGCUGUUCCUCAAACAUGAUAGAUACUGAAGUGUAGCUCUUUGUCCAAAUAGAAAUCUAGAAUGUGGACUUUACUGAGCCUGUCAAAACUCCUAGGGUCUUAUGAGAAAACAUAAGCAACUCUACUCACUCAAGCAGGUCAUUAAAAUAAUAUCAGGAGAAAUCUUUAACACUACUCCAGACCUGGAAAGAAGACUUGAGCCAGCCUGUAAAACAACUGCCAAAACAGUCCUAAGAGUAAAAGCAGGAAGAUGCUAUAAUCUUAUUGCAUGAGGAUCUUCCCAGUCUCUUCUAUACCAGGAUUCCUGGAAAGGUUGCACUGUAAUGAUAACUUGGGACUAGACAUGCUUCAGUAUUUGUUUUGAUUGUGUGAUUAUGUGUGUUUAAGAAUUGUUAAGAUGUAAUCCUACUCCAAAAAGAUUGUUUUAUUACUUAAUAUUUGCAGUGUGAAACAAAAUUAGAAAUAGUUAAUAGUGAUAAGUAAGUUUAGUAAAUAAGAAAAUACUUAGGAAUAAGAAAAUACUUAGGGAUAAGAACUGGGGGGGAGGAAUUUUUAGGAGAGAGCAGAACAUUAAUCAAUUGUCAAAAGUCAUGCAACUAUUUAGGGUAGAAAGCCAUUAUACAGGGUUUGUUUCUAAGCAGGUUUAUGAACCAGCCUAUUUUUGUCUUAUGUAAAUUAGCUAACCCUAAGAUGCUGAUAUAAGUCUAAAAACUCAUUAGAAGAAGAAGUGUUAACUAACUUAGCCCACUGAUUGGAUGCUGCUGAUCAAAAUCCUGAAUCUCCUCCAGGAGAAUGGAGAGAGUAGCUUGUCCUUUAUCCAGACUAUCCCUUUUCUAGAUCUUGAGAUUAGGUGCCCAAGCCAGUUCUUAUAUGGAAUGGAGGAAUAGAGAGGUAGAGGGGCUCAUCCUUCUGAGACAAGCUUAAAGGUGUUUAACUCAAGGGAAAUAGGAUGAUAGAUGGCAGUUAGGUAGUUGCACAAGUCUUCAUCCAUAUGCACUUUGGCUACAUACUUGUGUCCUUACAUGUGACGAUUACUUCCAGUUAUUAGAUUACAAUUGUUUAUGAUCCUUAUUAAAUGUUGGUCCAAACUAUUUUAUUGUUUUAU